CCUACGGGUGGCAGCAGUGGGGAAUAUUGCACAAUGGGGGAAACACUGAUGCAGCGACGCCGCGUGAAGGAAGAAGUAUUUCGGUAUGUAAACUUCUAUCAGCAGGGAAGAAAAUGACGGUACCUGACUAAGAAGCCCCGGCUAACUACGUGCCAGCAGCCGCGGUAAUACGUAGGGGGCAAGCGUUAUCCGGAUUUACUGGGUGUAAAGGGAGCGUAGGCGGCGAUGCAAGUCAGAAGUGAAAGCCCGGGGCUCAACCCCGGGACUGCUGUUGAAACUGUAUGGCUAGAUUGCAGGAGAGGCAUGUGGAAUUCCUGGUGUAGCGGUGAAAUGCGUAGAUAUUAGGAGGAACACCAGUGGCGAAGGCAGCUUGCUGGACUGUAAAUGACGCUGAGGCUCGAAAGCGUGGGGAGCGAACAGGAUUAGAUACCCCAGUAGUC
rnacentral:rRNA from 1 species